GCCAGACUCCUACGGGAGGCAGCAGUGGGGGAUAUUGCACAAUGGGGGGAACCCUGAUGCAGCGACGCCGCGUGGGUGAAGGAGUAUUUCGGUAUGUAAAGCCCUAUCGGCAGGGAAGAAGCAAGACGGUACCUGACUAAGAAGCCCCGGCUAACUACGUGCCAGCAGCCGCGGUAAUACGUAGGGGGCGAGCGUUAUCCGGAUUCACUGGGUGUAAAGGGAGCGUAGACGGCCAAGCAAGCCAGGGGUGAAAGCCCGGGGCCCAACCCCGGGACUGCCCUUGGAACUGCUUGGCUGGAGUGCGGGAGGGGCAGGCGGAAUUCCUGGUGUAGCGGUGAAAUGCGUAGAUAUCAGGAGGAACACCGGCGGCGAAGGCGGCCUGCUGGACCGCUACUGACGUUGAGGCUCGAAAGCGUGGGGAGCAAACAGGAUUAGAUACCCCCGUAUG
rnacentral:rRNA from 1 species